CAUGCAAGUCGUGCGAGAAAGUAUCUUCGGAUAUGAGUAGAGCGGCGGACGGGUGAGUAACGCGUAGGAAUCUACCUAGUAGAAGGGGAUAGCCCGGGGAAACCCGGAUUAAUACCGUAUACCUCCUUCGGGAGAAAGAAGGCCUCUCUUUGAAGCUUUCGCUACUAGAUGAGCCUGCGUAAGAUUAGCUUGUUGGUGAGGUAAAGGCUCACCAAGGCUACGAUCUUUAGCUGGUCUGAGAGGACGAUCAGCCACAUUGGGACUGAGACACGGCCCAGACUCCUACGGGAGGCAGCAGUGGGGAACAUUGGACAAUGGGCGCAAGCCUGAUCCAGCCAUACCGCGUGUGUGAAGAAGGCCUUCGGGUUGUAAAGCACUUUAAGCAGGGAGAAAAAGUUAUAAGUUAAUACCUUAUAACCCUGAUGUUACCUGCAGAAUAAGCACCGGCUAAUUCCGUGCCAGCAGCCGCGGUAAUACGGAAGGUGCAAGCGUUAAUCGGAAUUACUGGGCGUAAAGCGCGCGUAGGUGGUUUGUUAAGUUGGAUGUGAAAGCCCUGGGCUCAACCUAGGAACUGCAUCCAAAACUAACUCACUAGAGUACGAUAGAGGGAGGUAGAAUUCAUAGUGUAGCGGUGGAAUGCGUAGAUAUUAUGAAGAAUACCAGUGGCGAAAGCGGCCUCCUGGAUCUGUACUGACACUGAGGUGCGAAAGCGUGGGUAGCGAACAGGAUUAGAUACCCUGGUAGUCCACGCCGUAAACGAUGACAACUAGCUGUUGGGAGACUAUGUCUUUCAGUGGCGCAGCUAACGCUUUAAGUUGUCCGCCUGGGGAGUACGGCCGCAAGGCUAAAACUCAAAUGAAUUGACGGGACCCGCACAAGCGGUGAGCAUGUGGUUUAAUUCGAUGCACGCGAAAACCUUACCUACU
rnacentral:rRNA from 1 species